AUAAGAUACAGCCAUUUUUAUUUGAAGCGUUGUGCCAUAAAGGUGGGCCUUGAGGCCACAUAACAUUGCGCCUUAAUUUCCAAAAAAAGGUGAAAUCUGUAACCAUACCUCGGAGGUGUGACCUAAACAUCGCCUUUCCCAUGAUCAAGUUUCUUUGAACUUAAAGUUUCCAAAUAAGUUUUCAGAAUAUUUGUGUAUCUCAUUAUUACAACACACGUCCAUGGAUUCUACCUUGUUGAGAGCAAAAGAUUCGUCUUCCCACCUUAUCAAAUCAGGCGAUCCUUCUUUCGGUGCUAUCGUUAACUCCAAGCUGUCAGUUACAAACGCCAAUCAAUUAAAGUUUACUCGCCCCGCAAGGCCCGUGCAAGUCCACAAGUCACACAGCGUUAUCUAUAGCUCUAAAUGUCCUGACGAAAAAACAUUCGAUAAUACAAGCGAUAGUGAUAAUGUACCUUGGGAUAAAAUCUGCUCAUACUGUAACGUAUGUUGGCGUAGUGGAGAACAACUUUACUUUCGCCGGAGUUCUGCUGUGCGUCAUUUGCUUUCCUUUCGGUUUCUCGUGGCUCUUUUGCAUGAUGGAAUCGCAAUGCCCUCACUGCGGGAAAAUUUAUCUGUGAAACUCCCGCAGGAAAAUUUUUCUCUUUUCUCUCAUUAGAGCUUCACUUGACUGAACAUUUGUAAACGUGAAUUAUGUGAUGCAUGUUUGAAAAUCUUUACGAGGUAAAUAAUCAAGUUUAAGUUUAGAGAAUGAUAAAAGUUGAUGCAAAAUAAUUGAUUUUGAUCUAAUACACUAAUACAGUGGAUAGGCUGUAAAUUGAAUAUACACAGAACCGUCUCACGUGUCACAGCCAACAAAUUACGGUGGACGGUAACAUCAAACAAAUGUCCGAUAAAAGAAAUGCGCACACGAAAAUACAGUUUAUCAGUUGAUCGCAAUAGAUCACGAAAGAAUAAGGUUCGACAAGGUUUAACGAAAAUAAUAAGCCAUAUGCUCAUGUCUAUCAUAAAAUGACCUUUUCAAUUUCCAUAGCAACAAAAAGAUAAGGCCUAAGAAGGGAGUUAACGAUGUUAACGUAUAAAGUAUAUAUAUCUCGUUCUGUAACUUGUUUCAGUAUUCUUGCUCUUAUUUCAACUGAAUAUUGAAUUCCUGGACAAUAGGAAAGUAGUAAACAAUGGAACACGGAAAAGAAAAUCCUCCGUCAUACUCACAAGCUCCAGCAGCACCGUAUCCGGCAGCCCCAGCACAGUAUCCACCAGCCCCUCCGCACCCAUCGAAUGCCCAUACAUAUCCCCCGAAUAACAGUGGGCAAACUGUUAUCCAAGUUGAAGCUCAACCGCAAGUGAUCAUCGUCGGAGGCUGUCCAAAAUGCAGAGUUGGUGUUUUGAAAGACAAAUUCACCCUUUGCGGCUGGUGCUGGUUAAUCUGGUGUUUCCCAUGCGGUCUAAUUUGUUUUUUCAACAUGAGGCAAAAGAGAUGCAUCCAUUGCCAUCAAAGAUUUUGAGCUUAUUGGCAAAAAGGAACCGUACCCGCGACUCUGAAUAGCGUCCGCUACUACGUACGUUUCGACUGAAGAAACAACAAGCUCAACUUGGAUCUAUUUCCCUUUUCCUUGGUUGAGCGAACUUGUCAAUUUAAUCGAAAAUAAACAAAAUUUACAAAUU